GGCAGCGUAGCUCAGUGGUAGAGCAGGGGACUCAUAAGCCCUUGGUCGCAGGUUCAAAUCCCGCCGCUGCCA
rnacentral:tRNA from 1 species